UGGGGAUAAACCCGGGAAACUGGGUAUAAUACCCGAUAGAUCUCGACUGCUGGAAUGCAUCGAGAUCCAAAGCUUUGGCGCUCAAGGAUGGGUCUGCGGCCUACCAGGUAGUAGUGGGUGUAGCGUACCUACUAGCCUACGACGGGUACGGGUUGUGAGAGCAAGAGCCCGGAGAUGGAUUCUGAAACACGAAUCCAGGCCCUACGGGGUGCAGCAGGCGCGAAAACUUUACAAUGCUGGAAACAGCGAUAAGGGGACCUCGAGUGCCAGGUUACAAAUCUGGCUGUCGUGAUGCCUAAAAAGCAUUGCAUAGCAAGGGCCGGGCAAGACCGGUGCCAGCCGCCGCGGUAACACCGGCGGCUCGAGUGGUAACCGUUAUUAUUGGGUCUAAAGGGUCUGUAGCCGGCCGGAUAAGUCUCUUGGGAAAUCUGGCAGCUUAACUGUCAGGCUUUCAGGAGAUACUGUCUGGCUCGAGGCCGGGAGAGGUGAGAGGUACUUCAGGGGUAGGGGUGAAAUCUUGUAAUCCUUGAAGGACCACCAGUGGCGAAGGCGUCUCACCAGAACGGACCUGACGGCAAGGGACGAAAGCUAGGGGCACGAACCGGAUUAGAUACCCGGGUAGUCCUAGCCGUAAACGAUACUCGCUAGGUGUCGGCAACGGUGCGACCGUUGUCGGUGCCGUAGGGAAGCCGUGAAGCGAGCCACCUGGGAAGUACGGCCGCAAGGCUGAAACUUAA
rnacentral:rRNA from 1 species